CAUCCUGCCGGCGGCGGCGCUGCGUCCCGGCCGUACCGUGGUCGACGGCAGCCCGCAGCUGCGCGCCCGGCCGUUCGGGCCGGUCCUGGAAGC
rnacentral:tRNA from 1 species